rnacentral:lncRNA from 10 species
UUAUUUGACAAACUAUUCAAAGGAAUGACCCCACUAUUUAUGCAGUUUUAAGCAGAGAAGGAGAGUCUCCAGGAACUAUACGAAUUAAUCAACUUGAGCAAUCAGCCUGUUUUACAGCCUCCUGCCUUGGAGACUACUUUUUCCAAAACUCUAUGUGGGAUGUGGUCACCUAGUUGGUUGGAACCAGCUCCUGACAGACCCCAGCAACUGACAGAUGAACCUGAGUGAACUUUCCUCAUUAUCAUGCUAAAGUCUCCAUCCCGAAAGGAACUAUAGCUUCAUUACCAGAACAUGCA